CCCCUUCUAAGGUCACACCUGGAGAGUUAACAGUACUCUACCAGUCUCAGCUACGGGAGGGAGAGUCAAGCAGAGGCAUACCCAUUCCAUUCCUAGCCUGGCCAGUGGUUAGCGAGUGGAAGGCAAUCUGCUACAAGU